rnacentral:rRNA from 1 species
UUAAAGCUCUCUUCGGAGAGUGCAUAGAGUGGCGCACGGGUGAGUAACACGUAAGUAAUCUACCUUCGAGUGGGGAAUAACGUCCGGAAACGGACGCUAAUACCGCAUAAUGCAGCGGCAUCGUAAGAUGACAGUUGUUAAAGAUUUAUCGCUUGAAGAGGAGCUUGCGGCAGAUUAGCUAGUUGGUAAGGUAAUGGCUUACCAAGGCUACGAUCUGUAACCGGUCUAAGAGGACGGUCGGUCACACUGACACUGAAUAACGGGUCAGACUCCUACGGGAGGCAGCAGUCGGGAAUUUUGGGCAAUGGGCGAAAGCCUGACCCAGCAACGCCGCGUGAAGGAUGAAGUAUUUCGGUAUGUAAACUUCGAAAGAAUAGGAAGAAUAAAUGACGGUACUAUUUAUAAGGUCCGGCUAACUACGUGCCAGCAGCCGCGGUAAUACGUAGGGACCAAGCGUUGUUCGGAUUUACUGGGCGUAAAGGGCGCGUAGGCGGCAAUUCAAGUCAUCUGUGAAAUCUCCGGGCUUAACUCGGAACGGUCAGAUGAUACUGCUUUGCUAGAGUGCGGAAGGGGCAAUCGGAAUUCUUGGUGUAGCGGUGAAAUGCGUAGAUAUCAAGAGGAACACCUGAGGUGAAGACGGGUUGCUGGGCCGACACUGACGCUGAAGCGCGAAAGCCAGGGGAGCAAACGGGAUUAGAUACCCCGGUAGUCCUGGCCCUAAACGAUGAAUACUUGGUGUCUGGAGUCUUUAAUGCUCCGGGUGCCGUCGCUAACGUUUUUAGUAUUCCGCCUGGGGAGUACGCUCGCAAGAGUGAAACUCAAAGGAAUUGAC